AGACGUAGGGGGCGAGCGUUGUCCGGAAUUAUUGGGCGUAAAGGGCGUGUAGGCGGUUAUUUAAGUCGGACGUGAAAGGUGGCGGCUCAACUGCCACAUUGCGUAUGAAACUGGGUAACUUGAGUGCAGCAGAGGGAAGUGGAAUUCCUAGUGUAGCGGUGAAAUGCGUAGAUAUUAGGAAGAACACCAGUGGCGAAGGCGGCUUUCUGGGCUGCAACUGACGCUGAGGCGCGAAAGCUGGGGGAGCGAACGGGAUUAGAUACCCCGGUAGUCCCAGCCGUAAACGAUGGACACUAGGUGUAGGAGGAACGACCCCUUCUGUGCCGCAGCAAACGCAAUAAGUGUCCCGCCUGGGGAAUACGGCCGCAAGGCUGAA
rnacentral:rRNA from 1 species